rnacentral:lncRNA from 1 species
GUCUGCAGAGAAGACAAGGAGCUCUGUGUGCUGGCUCACCUGGGAGUGCUCACCUGUUGGGAGAGCUCUUCAUCUCCCACACAGAACCAGACCUGCCAAGUUGUGGGGAGAGAUGCUAUCUGCCAGAUCACUCUCUCCUGAAGAUGAUGCCAGGCAAGUGAAAUCGGCACCUUGCUCUGAGCUAGGCCACUCUGGCACUUUCCCUAGAGAUAACUAUGCCAGCUUACCUACGAGGACACAAGCCCAACUCCAGAGAUGCCCCUGCACGGUGCUCGCCACUGGGUCUGGGACCAGUGAGCACCUCCUUCCAGGACAAAUUAACCCAGAAGGGCAACAUACUUCAAAGAAAACAGACAAACUUUUCACCGCCAUCAUCCUUCUGAGAAAAGAGCAUGGCCUGAAGCCCUGGUGCGUCGGAAGCAGCUGUGUCGUGGAUGCCCCAGCUCCUGACAUGCCCACUCCAGACUCAGGAUCAGCAGGGAGGCCUCAUCCCACAGCCAAGGACCUCCAGUGAGAGGAAAGGAAGCUGAGCCCUCAGAAUUCUUCCCUGGAGAGUUCCGGAAGGAAAUCUCAACCUGCUGCAUCCUCCAUAGGCACGUGGAGAGGGAAGGUGUCCUCAC